UUAAAUAUAGUAUUUAUUGACUUAUUAUGUAAAAAUUUAACACUAAUUUUGCUCCUUGAAACAGAUAAAAAUAUGUUUUUAUAGAAAACCUUCUAUCUCGGAGGUAACAAUCGGUUUUCUUGCCUCUUAGAAUUGGAUUGUACACAUCCCAAAACUAUCUUUUCGUUACAUCAUCAAGUUUAUUUCAGGGACAAGAACAAGCGAUGAAAAGAUAGAGAAAAAUGAAGAGGUUUUCAAAGGACGAAAGCGCAUGGUAGUCAACAUCACCGACAUCAAACGACCAUCGCCACCUCAAUAUGUCAACAAUUACCCGUUGUCUACAAUCUGUGCCAUCAUAUUGAUCAUGAAGAUAACUUAGUAUGCAUAGAUCCACGCUAGAAGGAGAAGACAAGUUGUCCUAGUUGUGUUUGUGGUAAAAUCAUGUCCUUAUUUAUUUUGGUCUUUCCGGCUACUAUUAGUACUACUUAGUCCGAUCUCAGUAUCUAGUCUUGUAUUUCCUCAGUUGGUGUCUCUAUCAUGUAAUUAUUUCGUCUACUAGCUUGUUGCAUGACACGUCUUGUAAGCAAACAUUAGUUGUGAAGGUCAUGUAUACCGUAAAGUAUCAAUCCUACUGUUUCUGUUUCUAAAUAUAUAUAUUUUUAAA